CAAACCCUGCUUUGUCCGUGGCGAACCUUGAAGUUCUGAGCCAACACCAACACAUAGGGAGCCUGGACUCUGGUUGUGGAAUGCAGGCCUUCGGAGAAAGAAGGAAACAAGAAGCAACCAGGAGGGCACCCACCUGUCGAGACAGGGUUCAAGAAACUUUAGGGCGCCAACGGCACAGUGGGGUUUAU
rnacentral:other from 1 species